rnacentral:rRNA from 1 species
GAUGAACGCUAGCGGCAGGCUUAAUACAUGCAAGUCGAGGGGCAGCGGGAGUAGCAAUACUUGCCGGCGACCGGCGCACGGGUGCGUAACACGUAUGUAAUCUGCCCAUCACAGGAGGAUAGCCCGGAGAAAUUCGGAUUAAUACUCCAUAAUAGAAGAUAAAGCAUUUUAUUUCUUGAAAGUUCCGACGGUGAUGGAUGAACAUGCGACUGAUUAGUUUGUUGGUGAGGUAACGGCUCACCAAGACUACGAUCAGUAGGGGUACUGAGAGGUUAAACCCCCACACUGGUACUGAGACACGGACCAGACUCCUACGGGAGGCAGCAGUAAGGAAUAUUGGACAAUGGCCGCAAGGCUGAUCCAGCCAUGCCGCGUGCAGGAAGACGGACCUAUGGUUUGUAAACUGC